GCGUGUCAAUGCCGCACUCACAGGCAGCAACUAGAACAGAAGACAGACCUGCCAGUCCAAUAAUAAACAAAUACAAACACACUCGCCUGGAGCAGUUUAAGACAUCACAAGUGACAUCAUCCAAAUCCUGGCUGGGGACAGGCUCGGUACAACACUGUGCUCUGCUAAAAGCUUUCUCUCUGCUCCCGGCCUGAACGAGAGCCCAUGGAGCCCUGGGUGAUGUUGUGCUCUCUGCCGAGCACGGCUCAAUCCUGCUCAGGCAGCUGGAGAGGAUGAGAACCUCUGAGGAGCUCACGGACGUGGUGCUGCUGGCCGAGGGGAUUCCCUUUGCUUGCCACAAGGUUGUGCUCUCCGCAUUCAGCCCUUACUUCCAGGUUUGUGAAGAAGACAAAGUGCUGGACCUGGACGCCCAAAUCCUUGGGGAUCUCUUGCGUUCAGAUGACCUCAACAUAUCACAGGAGGAGAUGGUGCUGGAUCUAGUGCUGCGCUGGGUGGAGAGGAGAAGAGGGGACUCUCAGAGCGAAGCUCAGGCUCGCCGUCCGUCAGGAGGAGAAACCCAGUGAGAAGGGAUAUUCGGAGGGAAAGGCCAAGUGAUAAAAUUGUAGACUCUUAACCCACAUUUUCCUAGUGAUUAGUAAACUGACGGAACAGAAUGCCUAUAAAUGAUUCUUCCAGAUAUUGCUUCGGGAUGCUGAGUGUUUUGGGAUAAUUGAUACUCUCCAGACCUCAGGUCUCUGUGAGACAACAGUUCCACCUCGUCCGGCUCUUCGUUACGGCAUGGAGGCCACUGACCUGCUGCUCUGUUUGGCUGGGGUUGAUAAGGAUGGAGUGCCCGCCCGACGCGGAGGACUUCCUGACCUCAGUUGGUGCUUUGCCCCCCAUGCUAGAAAAACUUGCUACAUUCCCUCUCCACUGAGGGCCUGUGGAGGAUCAGACGGACGACGACCCAGACAAGCUGAGUAACCGUGUGUUUCAGUUUGACCCGAGCAAGGACAGGUGGACCGAGUGUUCCAGGAUGAAGUACUCCAGGUGGCAUAGCAUGCGAUGGAGCAGACCGCAGACAAUCACGCUGCUGUCUGAGCUCUGUGGAGAUCUAUAGCCCAGAUACAGACACUUGUAGGGCAGGACCAACCCUGCCCACUACUCUGCUCUCCCUCAGAACCAAUGC